rnacentral:misc_RNA from 1 species
AAGAAUCGUAUGAAUCGAGAUAUUCACGUACGGAUCUGUGAGAAGCUAAAGGGUAAGAUUCUUGGGCUUACUCGAU